AUUGAACGCUGGCGGAAUGCUUUACACAUGCAAGUCGAACGGCAGCACGGGGCAACCUGGUGGCGAGUGGCGAACGGGUGAGUAAUACAUCGGAACGUGCCCAAUCGUGGGGGAUAACGUAGCGAAAGUUACGCUAAUACCGCAUACGAUCUACGGAUGAAAGCGGGGGAUCGCAAGACCUCGCGCGAGUGGAGCGGCCGAUGUCAGAUUAGGUAGUUGGUGGGGUAAAAGCUCACCAAGGCGACGAUCUGUAGCUGGUCUGAGAGGACGACCAGCCACACUGGAACUGAGACACGGUCCAGACUCCUACGGGAGGCAGCAGUGGGGAAUUUUGGACAAUGGGCGCAAGCCUGAUCCAGCAAUGCCGCGUGCAGGAUGAAGGCCUUCGGGUUGUAAACUGCUUUUGUACGGUAACGAAACGGUGAGCUCUAAUAAAGCUUGCUAAUGACGGUACCGUAAGAAUAAGCACCGGCUAACUACGUGCCAGCAGCCGUAC
rnacentral:rRNA from 1 species